CCACUAUGCUUAGCGUAACAUCGAUUUUUCCACAAACAUCCGCCCGGGUACUACGAACACGAGUUUGAAACCCAAAGGACUUGGCGGUGCUUAACAUCCACCUAGAGGAGCCUGUUCUAGAACCGAUAACCCCCGUUUAACCUCACCCUCCCUAGCCUAAAACCGCCUAUAUACCACCGUCGCCAGCUUACCCUGCAAAGGCCCCACAGUAAGCAAAACUAGCACAGCUCAGUACGUCAGGUCGAGGUGUAGCGCAUGAGAGGGGAAGAAAUGGGCUACAUUCGCUACUUUAGCGUAUAACGAAUGCCUGCGUUGAAAAACGCAUCUGAAGGAGGAUUUAGAAGUAAGCAAAAAAUAGAGUGUUUUGCUGAAACUUGGCACUAAAGCGCGCACAUACCGCCCGUCACUCUCUCCCGUAUAUAACACAUUAAAACCUAUUUAUAAUACCACACCACAAUUAUUAGGAGAGGAAA
rnacentral:rRNA from 1 species